rnacentral:rRNA from 1 species
GACGAACGCUGGCGGCGUGCUUAACACAUGCAAGUCGAACGGAAAGGCCCUGCUUUUGUGGGGUGCUCGAGUGGCGAACGGGUGAGUAACACGUGAGUAACCUGCCCUUGACUUUGGGAUAACUUCAGGAAACUGGGGCUAAUACCGGAUAGGAGCUCCUGCUGCAUGGUGGGGGUUGGAAAGUUUCGGCGGUUGGGGAUGGACUCGCGGCUUAUCAGCUUGUUGGUGGGGUAGUGGCUUACCAAGGCUUUGACGGGUAGCCGGCCUGAGUGGGUGACCGGCCACAUUGAGACUGAGAUACGGCCCAGACUCCUACGGGAGGCAGCAGUGGGGAUUAUUGCACAAUGGGCGGAAGCCUGAUGCAGCAACGCCGCGUGCGGGAUGACGGCCUUCGGGUUGUAAACCGCUUUCGCCUGUGACGAAGCGUGAGUGACGGUAAUGGGUAAAGAAGCACCGGCUAACUACGUG